GACGAACGCUGGCGGCGUGCUUAACACAUGCAAGUCGAACGGAAAGGCCCUGCUUUUGUGGGGUGCUCGAGUGGCGAACGGGUGAGUAACACGUGAGUAACCUGCCCUUGACUUUGGGAUAACUUCAGGAAACUGGGGCUAAUACCGGAUAGGAGCUCCUGCUGCAUGGUGGGGGUUGGAAAGUUUCGGCGGUUGGGGAUGGACUCGCGGCUUAUCAGCUUGUUGGUGGGGUAGUGGCUUACCAAGGCUUUGACGGGUAGCCGGCCUGAGAGGGUGACCGGCCACAUUGGGACUGAGAUACGGCCCAGACUCCUACGGGAGGCAGCAGUGGGGAAUAUUGCACAAUGGGCGGAAGCCUGAUGCAGCAACGCCGCGUGCGGGAUGACGGCCUUCGGGUUGUAAACCGCUUUCGCCUGUGACGAAGCGUGAGUGACGGUAAUGGGUAAAGAAGCACCGGCUAACUACGUGCCAGCAGCCGCGGUGAUACGUAGGGUGCGAGCGUUGUCCGGAUUUAUUGGGCGUAAAGGGCUCGUAGGUGGUUGAUCGCGUCGGAAGUGUAAUCUUGGGGCUUAACCCUGAGCGUGCUUUCGAUACGGGUUGACUUGAGGAAGGUAGGGGAGAAUGGAAUUCCUGGUGGAGCGGUGGAAUGCGCAGAUAUCAGGAGGAACACCAGUGGCGAAGGCGGUUCUCUGGGCCUUUCCUGACGCUGAGGAGCGAAAGCGUGGGGAGCGAACAGGCUUAGAUACCCUGGUAGUCCACGCUGUAAACGGUGGGUACUAGGUGUGGGGUCCGUUCCACGGGUUCCGUGCCGUAGCUAACGCUUUAAGUACCCCGCCUGGGGAGUACGGCCGCAAGGCUAAAACUCAAAGGAAUUGACGGGGCCCCGCACAAGCGGCGGAGCAUGCGGAUUAAUUCGAUGCAACGCGUAGAACCUUACCUGGGUUUGACAUGGAUCGGGAGCGCUCAGAGAUGGGUGUGCCUCUUUUGGGGUCGGUUCACAGGUGGUGCAUGGCUGUCGUCAGCUCGUGUCGUGAGAUGUUGGGUUAAGUCCCGCAACGAGCGCAACCCUUGUUCACUGUUGCCAGCACGUUAUGGUGGGGACUCAGUGGAGACCGCCGGGGUCAACUCGGAGGAAGGUGGGGAUGACGUCAAGUCAUCAUGCCCCUUAUGUCCAGGGCUUCACGCAUGCUACAAUGGCUGGUACAGAGAGUGGCGAGCCUGUGAGGGUGAGCGAAUCUCGGAAAGCCGGUCUCAGGUCGGAUUGGGGUCUGCAACUCGACCUCAUGAAGUCGGAGUCGCCAGUAAUCGCAGAUCAGCAACGCUGCGGUGAAUACGUUCCCGGG
rnacentral:rRNA from 1 species